AAAGAAGGGUUAAAUUCCUAAACAUACAAGAGAUAAGGGAAAAGAAAAUAAAACCACAUUAGGAGUUCCCCUCUUGAGAUCAUAUUGAUGAUCCAAGUACCUCCCAUCCUUUGGAAUAAGCAGUCACAAACAAAUAUCUCAAGCCAUUAAGCACAUGUAAUCAGAAUAAACCUCCAGGGGGUAUCCCACAAAUAAAGUGGAACACCAGGCCAUCUCUGCAAGAGUCAUGUGAGCCC
rnacentral:lncRNA from 1 species